rnacentral:rRNA from 1 species
GAUGAACGCUAGCGGCAGGCUUAAUACAUGCAAGUCGUGGGGCAGCAUGUCCCGCAGCAAUGCGGGAUGAUGGCGACCGGCAAACGGGUGCGGAACACGUACACAACCUUCCUUUUAGUGGAGAAUAGCCCAGGGAAACUUGGAUUAAUACUCCGUAACAUAUAGAAGUGGCAUCACUUUUAUAUUAAAGCUCCGGCGCUAGAAGAUGGGUGUGCGGCUGAUUAGGUAGUUGGCGGGGUAACGGCCCACCAAGCCGACGAUCAGUAACUGGUGUGAGAGCACGACCAGUCACACGGGCACUGAGACACGGGCCCGACUCCUACGGGAGGCAACAGUAAGGAAUAUUGGUCAAUGGACGCAAGUCUGAACCAGCCAUGCCGCGUGGAGGAUGAAGGUCCUCUGGAUUGUAAACUUCUUUUAUCUGGGAAGAAAUCCAUUUUUUCUAAAAUGGUUGACGGUACCAGAUGAAUAAGCACCGGCUAACUCCGUGCCAGCAGCCGCGGUAAUACGGAGGGUGCAAGCGUUAUCCGGAUUCACUGGGUUUAAAGGGUGCGUAGGUGGGCAAGUAAGUCAGUGGUGAAAUCUCCGGGCUUAACCCGGAAACUGCCAUUGAUACUAUUUGUCUUGAAUACUGUGGAGGUCAGCGGAAUAUGUCAUGUAGCGGUGAAAUGCUUAGAUAUGACAUAGAACACCAAUUGCGAAGGCAGCUGGCUACACAAAUAUUGACACUGAGGCACGAAAGCGUGGGGAUCAAACAGGAUUAGAUACCCUGGUAGUCCACGCCCUAAACUAUGGAUACUCGACAUUUGCGAUAAACUGCAAGUGUCUGAGCGAAAGCAUUAAGUAUCCCACCUGGGAAGUACGAUCGCAAGAUU